UACGUAGGGUGCAAGCGUUAAUCGGAAUUACUGGGCGUAAAGCGUGCGCAGGCGGUUCUAUAAGACAGAUGUGAAAUCCCCGGGCUCAACCUGGGAACUGCAUUUGUGACUGUAGAGCUGGAGUGCGGCAGAGGGGGAUGGAAUUCCGCGUGUAAGCAGUGAAAUGCGUAGAUAUGCGGAGGAACACCGAUGCGAAGGCAAUCCCCUGGGCCUGCACUGACGUCAUGCACAAAGCGUGGGGAGCAA
rnacentral:rRNA from 1 species